UAAAAUAGAUUUAGAUAUUUUGGUCCUUACAUAUGCUUUGUUAUUUGAGGACUAAGCAUUAACCACCUUCCACAGUUUCCAGUCCAGGACAUGUACAGUAGUUAUUUGUUGAGUUACUAGAAACUAUUUACGCUUUCAAUUUAUUCUCGGUUAUGUUUUUAUGGGUGCGGACAAGAAUUGACAGAGCAAACAUUAAUGAUCACUUAUUUUGAUAUGCCUAAAGCAUGAACAGCUAUACUGCUAUUAUGGAAAUAUUCAUUCAUUAAUUUGUUGUGUCAAAGAAACCAUUGUAUCCAUCAUUUUUGUGUUGGUGUUGAGGGCAGACUAUUCAAAGUGUUCCCAGCUUAUUAUGCCAUGUAGAUGUUCCAUGUGAACUAUUUUUUGCAAAAUCUUCCAUCAUAAAUGUUACUGUAUUUCUGAAGGUCGGUGCUGAUACCCAAUAAGAUCCUCCUAGAUCUGCCCUCGAUCUAUUGCUCAGUGGAUAUGAUGGGCAACCUUCAGUUUCAGGGAGAGUACAUUUUUCGCAUACUGCUAUUGCUUAUGAAAAGUAAUCUCCCACUGCACCUAGCUUACAUCGGAUUGUUGGAUAUGUACAAUGUAUCCAUAAUCCUCAUGGAUGUAAAUUUUGUUAUGUAAUUCCAUCUCCCAUCAUGCAUCCAUUGUUUCACAUAUUAGAUGAAAAAUCUGCCAUAGACUCACUAUGCGAGAACAAAUCUGAAGCCUAUGGAAUAUUGAAUGUUUAAGAGGGAUUUAUCGUUUUACUUUUCUUGACACAUUAAUCCUACGGAUCUGGCUUCUAAUUAUUGUGAAAUAUGGCUUUAACAUUUCAAACAACUUUUCUACAUGCAUCAUGUAGUUAUUUGUUCCGACUAAACAACAUAUGGCCAAAUAAUAUUUACUAUGGCUAUGCCAACCAGAUUGUUUACAAAAAUAUUCAUCAAGGCUCCCUUUAUAUGUUUGUUUCUACACCUUCCUUGGCUGCGUAAUAUCUUUCUGGUAUAGAAAAAUAUUGAGUGAGAUACAAAACACCUUUCCUGAUGUAUGAAACACAAUUUUUUCUUCCUAAUUCAUCUCACAAUUCUACCUUCAACCUACAGGUAAAUCUAUGCAUUCUUUCUACUUAUGUAAUCUUCAUGAACUCUAUUAUUUACGUGGAACUGCUAAAAUUAAGUCGAUCAUGACCUGCUGCGAGGCGGAAUAAAAUUCAUCAUGGAGCAGAUUAUAGAGAUAAACUAAUAUUUUGUUCAUAUGUAGAAUAAUUUGGAUGAUUUAUCAUUUAUGUGGCAAUUGUCCAUAUGUUUAGUCAUGACUCCUCAUUACCUGCUAUUUAAUCUUAUUGAUUAUUUUGGGCUACUACUUUCUAUCAAGCCGAAACCUAUCAUUUGAUAAGAAACAUAUGACCUGCUCACUACUUGCUUCCUAUCAUUUGACUCUUGAGUCCAAUGCAUUUAGGCUUGAGAACACUUGCGAACACAUGAUUGUCAUAUUCGUAGAGAUUCUCAUACUUAUUGUUCACGUGCAGAAUUGUGGGAAUGAAGUGAAUAUGGUACAUACUGUGUAUUAUGAUUUACUUUGCAGUUUUAAGUAAGUAUUAGUCCGUUGAUAUCAUCGCACCAAUUAUAUAUUACCAACUGCCGAAGGUCAGAUGGGUUCAUCAAACCAGUAACACAUGUACAUGUUUAUCAAACGUACUAAUUGCAUAUAAAUCCAUAUUUCCAUUCUUUAAAUUUAUAAAUUAGACUAUCUUUAUCCUAUGAUUUUAUUCAGCUUUUUUCGCAGGUGAAGGCAUUGCUUUGAUUAAUCUUUCUUGGGACACGAGAGUAAGCACCGAUUGCAUCUUUGAUUUUGUAAAAUGUGAUCAUAUGAUACCCGCAAAACUACAAUUCAUAUCUAAAUACUAUUUAAUAAUACAUAUUGCCAUCUAUAUUUGUAUAUCAGUUUACAAGUUUGGUUUUGCAAGUUACGGUUUGAAAAGACUGCAAUUAUCAUGAAAAUGUUUCUCUUACAUCCUUUUCAUGCAUGUUAUGUUCUAUGAUGAAAAGCGGCACAAAAGUUACGUGUUCUGGAGAUUUUAUAUAUUAGGGAGUAUAAUAUAAAUGUAUAAUAGUGCACAUUAUCCAAUUACAAGAGAAAUAAAAAAGCUGUAAGUUUGGUGUUGCACAUUUGUCAUGAUUCGUUAAUAAUGUGUCUGAAUUUAGUUGGCAACCAUUCUUUUCUCAGGCCAAUUCUUGAUGCCUCCAUUUUAUUCCAUGAAAAUAUUCUAAGAUUGGCCUCCUUGGUUAUGAUGCAAAUCCGAAUGUAUAUUCUAAAAUUGACAAGAACGAUAAAGCCAACGGAAACGAUUUAAAAUGUCCCUAUAUUUUUGGCUCCUCUUAUAGGAGAUCAUAGUGCAUAUAAACAAUACAUACACACAAGCUUCCCCUCGGUCAUGAUCCAAAUCUCAAUAUAAUACAAGAUACCAUAUCAUAUGUUUAUAGAUCCACAUAACCAUGUAUCGUAUGGUUUCCUGCCGUAAGGUGUAUAUAUAUAUAAUUGAUUUUGCACAAUAGCUAAGUAGAUAUACAACUAGCCCGUGCGGAUGCACGGGUUGACGACUAGUAUUUAUAAUAUUAGAAGGCCAAUCAUACUCAAAUAUUAUUUAUUUUUACUACUACGAUUUACAGAAGUGCCCUAUUUUCUGUUAAUAGGUUAAUGUAAUAAUAAAUUAUUUGAAUUAUUUAU
rnacentral:lncRNA from 1 species